GUGCUCACUUUGGCAGCACAUAUACUAAAACUGGAAUGACACAGAGAACAUUAGCAUGGCCCCUGUUCAAGGAUGACAAAGAAAAAUUAAAAGGAAAAAAAUUUUUUU
ensembl:snRNA U6 U6 spliceosomal RNA